AGGAUAUGAAUUAAAUUUCUGAACUUACUGAUAUGAAAACACAUUUUUAUUUCCUCGUCUUCUUACUUGUUCUUUUCAUGGAUUUUGGUAAUAACCAAAUACAGGUAGCAGAAGGCAUAAUAACAUGCGUAGCUGUUAUAGGGGAACAAUAUUGUCCAGACAUUACGAAAUGUCGAAAUGCUUGCAAAUUUUUUCAUUUUAACGAUUUGACGUAUGCAGAAUGUAUUCCAAACAAAGGAUGCGCUUGUACUUUUAUAAAUCCAGAUCAAACUAAACCAUGUCCACAUGCUGCUAAUUUGUUAUAACUAGAACAGUCAUAUACAUUAUUUAGUUGUUAAUCCUUUUUGGGUGGCGUUCUAAUAAUGGUGAAUAAAAUGAUGACUGUAUUAUGUUAUCUACUAUAUAUCUAUCUAUCAAAGUAAUAAUUAAAUAGUGGUUGUACUA